GGGUGCAAAAAUAAAGUGCAGAGAGAUGCUCUGUGUAUUUGAAUGUCUUUGUUCUUUGUUUAUUUUACUGAAGUGUAUCUUUAUCUCAAGGAGAAUCCAAUGGUAAAAAAUUUCUUAUUUCUUUCAUUUUACAACUGCCAUAUUGAACUAGUUAAUGCAGUUAAGAACCUAGAAAAAGGGGCAUCCAUUGAUUUAACGCUUCUGGUUGUAAUGCUUCUUUUUUUUUUUAGGCUUAAUUACUUCUAAAAUCUUAAACUUUUUGGGGGUUUUCAUUUUUAUCCUAAACUUUGAUUCAUUACAAUUAGAUCCUUAAAUUUUUAUAAUGUUCGAAUUUCUCCCCUUGAGUGCUAUUUCCGUCCGACGACUAUGACAGAAAUGUCAUGUGCUAUUACAUGAUACGUAAUGAAAACUGAUGUAGAAUCCUACACGCCUUCUUUCUUGUUUCUUCCUUUUAGCUAGGGUUUCUACUUUCAAUUUCAUCACUUUCUCUCUAUCGCUAUCUCUUCUAAAACUCCACCACCUCCUACACCACCAUCAGCACCUCCGUCUGUACCAUCACUAUCUCUAAACCCUUCUCCAUAGAGGUCAACCACUACCAAGACUGCUUCCAUCACCAUUCUUUUUAUCAAGUGUUGAAAAUUUGAACUUUGAGGUCACAAAAAUCUUAGUUGUCUCCUUUUUUUUUUUUGUUAUUUACAUUUGCUUGGGAAAUUAUGUGAUUAAUGGAGUUUCUGGGGUUAUAAUGAUUCGAAUUAUUGGUUCGUUUAAUCUUUAGCUAAUCUUAUAAACUUACAAAGCUAACCUUGAAGAACCCAAAUUUCAAAAGAAGCUAAGAAGAAGAUGAGAACAACCAAUCCUAAUCCUCCAUGCUUUAUUCUUCCAUCUUCUUCUUACGUCAGUCAUGCUCGAAAAAGAUAGAGGAGAAAUUAUGAAAUGGAAAGUAAAAACCAUAGCUAGAAGGAAGAAAUGGGGAAAAAAAGAAGUUUAGGGUUCUACGUCAGUUAAUUCUAUGCCACAUCAACUUUCACUGUGUCGCAUGAUAGCACAUGAUAUUUUCGUCAUAGUUGUCAGAUAGAAAUAGCACUCGGAGAGAUUGCAACAUGAUAAAAGUCUGAGGAUCUGAUUACGAAUCAAAGUUCAAGAUAAAAAUAAAAACCUCCAAAAAAUUUAAGAUUUUAAAAUAAUUAAACUUUUUUUUUAAAUUCAUUUAAACGGUUUGUUGAGUAUUGCAAAAAAAACCAGUUGGAGUCUAGUUCGUCGGAUAUUUGGGGAACCUACUGUAUUUCUCAAAAAAAUGCUUUCUCGAAUACCUACAUUAUCCCAAUCAGAUAUUGGUAAUGCAUUGUGUCUGAUAUAGUGUUUUGGUAAAAACCGCAUGUUUUUUGAUUGGCUUUGUAAGACAUGCUAUGGUAGACUGUUGUCAAUGUACUUCAUUGGUUCAAAACUUCAACAUUAAAAUGCUUGAUUAGAUUAACUUAACACUAUUUGAAAUUACUGUAGACAAUCCUAAUAAGGCCUGCUAGUUAGCAUGUCUUAUGACAAAUUCAAUGUAUCAUUAACCAGAGUGAGUAGUGUAGUAAGGCAACAGGGAAACAUAUUCCAACUAGCUUGGGAUUCUUACCUAAGAGGGAAGGAGAACCAAGCAUUCUUGGGCUAAAGAAAGAAUUAAAUUCUUGCAAAUGGCUGUAGGUUUAAGCAGCUAAAAUGAUAGUUUUUGGAUAGAGGUUAUUCAUGGUUAUGGAUUAGAGAUAGGUGAGCAAGAGUCUAGGAAAAAUAGCAAAGGUUUACAGUUUAAUGUUGUAGUUACAUCUGUUAGUCUAAUCUCUUUUAAGUUUUUCUUCCCAUCUUGUGGAAGGAGUGGUGGGGGCAUGCACGCAUGCACACACUCGCACGGGAAGGGUCAUACCAAUUCAAGUAUAUCCAUGAUUUUCAUGAUGAAUAGAUUGAGGAGCAAGAUUGUUGGAUGAGUAGCAAAUAUAAAGAAUCUAACCUUUGGAAUUGCAUCUACUAACCUCCUAAAUUAUUCCAAAUUGGUGAUUGACAGAGAGAAAGCUGCUUUGAGAAGGCUAGUUAAUUGGGAUUCUAAGAUGUUAAAAAGAAUAAUUUUCAUGUCAUUCUAUCAUAAUUUUUUUUUUAAAUAUAAAUGAUUCUGUCAACACUUGAACUAUCUUAGUGACAAAAGGAAGAAAAACUUGGUCUCAUUAUGAGUUACAUACCACUCUUUUAUUUCUUCAUUCUGUUUCAAUAUGGAGUGAUCUGUCUAAAGCUUGCUUUGCAGAGACUAUUUUUAUUGCUUCAAUAUGGAGAAGUAUCUAUAAGUUGUUUGAGUGAACACCAUUAGAAUGGAUUUUUCCCUCUCCUCGGACAGCAGUGACUCCAACAGUGAAUAACUCUGAUAUGCUUCAAAAGCAAAAUAGCUAAAAAUGUUUGAAGUUAUCAUCCAACUUAUGGCACACACAUGAAGAGGUUUUGGGAAUCUUCUUUCUCAUUUAUUUUUCCCCCAGUCAGGCGGAUAACAUAGUGCAUAAUGACUGUUACCAAAGCUUGCAUAUACCAUAUAAAGGAUAGGGGUAACUUGAAUAAGGUAACAUCCUUGAAAAAUUGUGCAAAGCAUGCUCUGUUGCAGUCUUUGGCCUUUUAUAGAUGAUUUUGUAGUUGUUUUUUACCAUGCAUUUUGGCCUUCAAUAGUUGCGAGCAAGCAAAGCUACUAGAAGUUGAUGCAAGUUUUGAGAGAACCUAGACACAAUGUUCCAGUGUCAAAUGAGUAGUUAUCCAGAUGCGUUGCUAUCUUAUUGCUAGGGGCCCAAAUCCCAAACAAAAACUCUGAAAGCUUCUUUAUAAAUGAGAAUUUUCAGAAGCUUCUUACCCAUCUAUUUGUUGAUUUGAUUGUGUCCAUCGCUACCUUCAAGUCACUAGAAACCAUAUUUUUGUAGAUAAAUCUGGCAUACAUGGUAGAAAACAUUCUGAUUAAAAUUGUUUCGGCUAUAGUAACGAUCACCAGAUUCAUCGGCAAAGGACAGACCAUAAUGAUGUUUAUUUAACUAUUUUCCAGGAAGUCAAUUGCAUAGCAGAUGAUGUAUGUAGAGAGAAAUCAAUAUUUGCCACCUUGUUGCGAUUUUAUAACCCUUGGUUCUCCUCUUUGAUCAGUAAAAUUUACUACUUUGGAAGAAGGGUUCCUUUUUUUUUGGGGGGGGGUGGUUUUGUUGGGGGGGGGGGGGUUGUGGUUGCAGGUGGGGGGUGUUCUUCUUCUUCUUCUUCCUCCUCCUCCUUUAGUAUAUAGGUUGCACAGACUUGCAUAAUUUAUCUGUACCUUCAUUGCAAAAAGAGAACAUCACAUUAACAAAAAAAAAAAGAAAAAAAAAUAAAAAUCAAGUAUCAAGGAUGAGAGCUGGAUAAGAAACCUAUCUUUUUCUUUUCCACAAUCUCUAUUAUGAAAAUUCACAAAGGCAGUUCGUUAUCCAAGCUUUGUAUUUAUAUCUUUGUGGUUUACGGCAGGUAUACGACGUGACAAAGUAUUUGGACGACCACCCUGGAGGAGAUGAUGUUCUCCUAUCAGCAGCUGGUAUUCUGAUCUCUUCUGAAUGUCAAGUUUUCUUUAAUAUAAAAUUAGAUGAAAUUAUAUCCAAGUCUCCCCAUUAUUGCUGUUGGUAGCAUGGCAUACAUACAACUUCAAAUUAAAUUAAUGCCUUAUUGCCAAAUCUUAUGCUCUUCAACUUUGUUUUAAAGGGAAGAACUCAACUGAAGAGUUCGAAGAUGCAGGCCACAGCAAAAGUGCUAGAGAGCUCAUGCAAGAUUAUUGUAUUGGAGAAUUAGAUCCAACACCUGCUAUCCCAGAGCUCGAAAUCGUUAGGAAGGACCAACCUUCCAACCUCAUUACCAAGCUUUCAAGCAAGACAUUGCAGUAUUGGGCUGUCCCAGCAACCAUCAUUGGGAUCUCAGUAGUGACUGCCAUUUUGUACUCACGCAAGAAGUAACACGGUCAAAAAAAUUACCACCUUAUCUUAUUCAACUUCUGAAAUUCAAACACACCAUUCCUUUAUUCUAAAAUGGAUGCAUCAUCCUAAUACAAACUCUGAAUUGAGAGAGAUUCUGUCUUCAAAGUUCAUGCAUCAUUCUUGAUAAAACAUGAGUAUUCAUACCGAUAUAUAACAGACAUUGCAUUGGUGAAUUGCUUUAUUUGUCACUGUCGGUGGAUAAGCCAUCGAAAGAUGGCAGGACUGAAGGACGGAGCCGGUAGAGGAACUUGCGGAAGCUGUGUUGGCUGUACAUUUCCCCCUCCUCUGCAUUGUCAAGGAUUGCAGUCGAUCGGCGAGUCUUGUUGAUUCUGCAAGGGGAAGGUCGUUCUUGUUAAGUUGUACUCUUUUAUACACAGGAUCAUCUACAUAAUUAUCAAGUCCACCAUCUACUUAGCAUGCGAAACAUCACAGUUUAACUUUUUCUGAACUGCUAUUCUCUGAUUUGAAUUGAUGAUCUUUCCAUUUCUUAGAGAUCCCUUGGGCUCUGAAAUUUGAUUUGGAGCAGCAGGCCUUUGAGACCACAUUGGAAAUUAUCUUCAGGUGAAGAAAGGGAAUGAUAAAAUUGCUGUGUAUUUUACUGGGUUAAAGUGGAACAAAUAGGAUAAAGGGAUCUCUAUUCUAUUUUAAGUCUGAAGUGAACACAACUUAUAAGAAAAGGGAGGAGGUGCUGCUGCCAGCUUCAUGCCUGGUUCAAACCCAGUAACAAUCUCAUGUCGAUAGAGAUGCCAACUAGCCAAGUGUGGUCGAUGCUUUUGUAGAAAGCUAGUGACCUUUUUUUCUAUUUGUUUGUUGCAAUAUUAGCAUAUUUUUUAUUUACUUAUUUUUUCUAUCAACUAAAUUUUUCUAGUUUUGACCAGCAAUAGUGAUAUAGCCAAAAUCUUAUCGAGUUCCUAACAAGGUUUUAAAUUUGGCGGCAUGAUAUGUAAAGUAUGGGCAUUAAAUUUUGUCCAUACAAAAUAUCACUUGAUAUGAUGUAAAUAUUGGCUGAAUUUUCUUUGGUUUUAUUUUGCAAUCUAAUUGUGGUUUUUUGAUAACAAGAAAUUUAAAUUAACGUAUGUCACUGCAGUGUUCAAGCCUGGUUAAACCUAGAACCGUUUUUACAUAGAUAGACAUGCCAACGAGCUAAGCUAAGUUUUGUUGGUGCUCUUGCAUGAAACUAGUCACUAUUUUUGUUUGUCACAGUAUUAGAACAAUUUUUUUAGUUAUUUAUUUUAUUUUCAAAAAGUGUUUCAACUCUCCUCCUAGAACCUUCCUCCAAUCCCAUGGACAAUUAUGUAUUGUUUCUUGCAUCCAACCAGCCAGCCUACUGAUUUUUGAUUAUUUUGGGUUGAUGCGACAAAAAUCUGAUCGAGAUCUUAACUCGGUUUUCAUCUCACAAACAUAGCAUAGAAAAAAUUAGCAACAAAUUUUGUCCAUUCUAAAUGUCACCUGAUAUGAUGUAACUAUAUCGGCUGAAUUUUCUUUGAUCUUAUUUUGCAAUCUAAUUAUGGGUUUAAAUUAUAGAAAUUUAAAUUGACAUGUGACACUGCCAGGUUGACACCUAUUUAAAACCCAAGGCCACUCUUAUAUGGAUAAAGAUGCCAACUAGCUGAGCUAAGCUUGGUCUGUGCUUUUCUAUAUGGCUGCUCAAUCUAAUUAUAGGUUUUCAAUAACCAGAAAUUUAAAUUAAUGUAUGCCACUGCCAGUUCAUGCCUACUUCGAACCCAAGUUCACUUUUUUUUUUAAAUGAAUAAAGAAGUUACCUAGCUAGGUUAACUUUGGUCACUUUUCUAUGAAGCUAGUCUACGGUUUUUUUUUUUUUUUUUUUUUUUUUUUUU
rnacentral:lncRNA from 1 species